AGAGGUUUGAAUUCUGCUCAGAUUGAACGCUGGCGGCAGGCCUAACACAUGCAAGUCGAACGGUAGCACAGAGAGCUUGCUCUCGGGUGACGAGUGGCGGACGGGUGAGUAACGUCUGGGAAACUGCCCGAUGGAGGGGGAUAACUACUGGAAACGGUAGCUAAUACCGCAUAACGUCGCAAGACCAAAGUGGGGGACCUUCGGGCCUCACACCAUCGGAUGUGCCCAGAUGGGAUUAGCUAGUAGGUGGGGUAAUGGCUCACCUAGGCGACGAUCCCUAGCUGGUCUGAGAGGAUGACCAGCCACACUGGAACUGAGACACGGUCCAGACUCCUACGGGAGGCAGCAGUGGGGAAUAUUGCACAAUGGGCGCAAGCCUGAUGCAGCCAUGCCGCGUGUAUGAAGAAGGCCUUCGGGUUGUAAAGUACUUUCAGCGGGGAGGAAGGCGGUGAAGUUAAUAGCUUCACCGAUUGACGUUACCCGCAGAAGAAGCACCGGCUAACUCCGUGCCAGCAGCCGCGGUAAUACGGAGGGUGCAAGCGUUAAUCGGAAUUACUGGGCGUAAAGCGCACGCAGGCGGUCUGUCAAGUCGGAUGUGAAAUCCCCGGGCUUAACCUGGGAACUGCAUUCGAAACUGGCAGGCUGGAGUCUUGUAGAGGGGGGUAGAAUUCCAGGUGUAGCGGUGAAAUGCGUAGAGAUCUGGAGGAAUACCGGUGGCGAAGGCGGCCCCCUGGACAAAGACUGACGCUCAGGUGCGAAAGC
rnacentral:rRNA from 1 species